rnacentral:rRNA from 1 species
CAGCCGCCGCGGUAAUACGUAGGGUGCGAGCGUUAAUCGGAAUUACUGGGCGUAAAGCGUGCGCAGGCGGUUUUGUAAGACAGGCGUGAAAUCCCCGGGCUCAACCUGGGAAUGGCGCUUGUGACUGCAAAGCUAGAGUGCGGCAGAGGGGGAUGGAACUCCGCGUGUAGCAGUGAAAUGCGUAGAUAUGCGGAGGAACACCGAUGGCGAAGGCAAUCCCCUGGGCCUGCACUGACGCUCAUGCACGAAAGCGUGGGGAGCAAACAGGAUUAGAUACCCGAGUAGUCCCUGUCUCUUAUAC